AUAACCCUUUGUGAACAUACCUACAACUGUUGCUUCGGCGGGUAGGCCGUCCCCUGAAAAGGACGCCUCCCGGCCCGGACCGGACCCCCCGCGGGACCGGACCCGGCGCCCGCCGGAGGAUAACCAAACUCUAUUGUAACGACGUUUCUUCUGAGUGGCAUAAGCAAAAUAAUCAAAACUUUUAACAACGGAUCUCUUGGUUCUGGCAUCGAUGAAGAACGCAGCGAAAUGCGAUAAGUAAUGUGAAUUGCAGAAUUCAGUGAAUCAUCGAAUCUUUGAACGCACAUUGCGCCCGCCAGCAUUCUGGCGGGCAUGCCUGUUCGAGCGUCAUUUCAACCCUCAAGCUCUGCUUGGUGUUGGGGCUCUACGGUCGACGUAGGCCCUCAAAGGUAGUGGCGGACCCUCCCGGAGCCUCCUUUGCGUAGUAACAUUUCGUCUCGCACUGGGAUCCGGAGGGACUCUUGCCGUAAAACCCCCCAAUUUUCCAAAGGUUGACCUCGGAUCA
rnacentral:rRNA from 1 species